rnacentral:rRNA from 1 species
CCGGCGUGUGUGAGAAGGCCUUUGGUUGUAAAGCACUUUAAGCAGUGAAGAGACUCCGUGGUUAAUACCCACGGACGAUGACAUUAGCUGCAGAUAAGCACCGGCUAACUCUGUGCCGGCAGCCGCGGUAAUACAGAGGGUGCAAGCGUUAAUCGGAAUUACUGGGCGUAAAGCGAGCGUAGGUGGCUUGAUAAGUCAGAUGUGAAAUCCCCGGGCUUAACCUGGGAACUGCAUCUGAUACUGUUAGGCUAGAAUAGGUGAGAGGAAGGUAGAAUUCCAGGUGUAGCGGUGGAAUGCGUAGAGAUCUGGAGGAAUACCGAUGGCGAAGGCAGCCUUCUGGCAUCAUAUUGACACUGAGGUUCGAAAGCGUGGGUAGCAAACAGGAUUAGAUACCCUGGUAGUCCACGCCGUAAACGAUGUCUACUAGUCGUUGGGUCCCUUGAGGACUUAGUGACGCAGCUAACACAAUAAGUAGACCGCCUGGGGAGUACGGCCGCAAGGUUAAAACUCAAAUGAAUUGGC